rnacentral:rRNA from 1 species
AUGUUCCUUGUGGACUGGUUCUACGGGGUGCUCGCGUCGCUCGGACUGUGGCAGAAGGAGGCCAAGAUCCUCUUCCUCGGCCUCGACAACGCCGGCAAGACCACGCUCCUCCACAUGCUCAAGGACGAGAGGUUGGUUCAGCAUCAGCCUACACAGUAUCCAACUUCUGAAGAGCUGAGCAUCGGAAAGAUCAAGUUCAAGGCAUUUGAUUUAGGAGGCCAUCAGAUUGCCCGCCGUGUGUGGAAGGAUUACUAUGCCAAGGUUGAUGCAGUGGUGUACCUUGUGGACGCGUAUGACAAAGAGAGGUUUGCCGAAUCCAAGAAGGAGCUCGACGCCCUCCUCUCAGACGAUUCGCUGGCCACCGUCCCCUUCCUGAUCCUGGGCAACAAGAUCGACAUCCCCUAUGCCGCCUCAGAGGAAGAGCUCCGCUACCACAUGGGUCUUAGCAACUUCACGACUGGCAAGGGCAAGGUGAGCCUCAGCGAGUCCAAUGUCCGCCCCCUGGAGGUCUUCAUGUGCAGCAUCGUCCGCAAGAUGGGCUAUGGCGAAGGGUUCAAGUGGAUGUCGCAGUAUAUCAAGUAG